rnacentral:rRNA from 1 species
UAUUAGGAGUACAGGNGUGCUUUACACGUGCAAGUCGAGCGAUGAAACUACUUCGGUAGUGAAUUAGCGGCGAACGGGUGAGGAACACGUGAGGAAUCUGCCUUCAACACUGGGAUAACUCCGGGAAACCGGGGCUAAUACCGGAUACGAGUUCUGAUCGCAUGAUCGGGGCUGGAAAGUUUUUUGGUUGAAGAUGACCUCGCGGCCUAUCAGCUUGUUGGUGAGGUAAUGGCUCACCAAGGCGACGACGGGUAGCCGGCCUGAGAGGGCGACCGGCCACACUGGGACUGAGACACGGCCCAGACUCCUACGGGAGGCAGCAGUGGGGAAUAUUGGGCAAUGGAGGAAACUCUGACCCAGCGACGCCGCGUGCGGGAUGAAGGCCUUCGGGUUGUAAACCGCUU